ACCAGACACCGACAGACCCUGACAGACACCGACAGACACCGACUCCCUCCUCUGGGAUACAGGACGAGUUGGCCGUAAGGUUCCUACAGCGGAGAGAGUUGGUCACAACUGUCUGACGUGUAAAAGACGAGAGAAUCUUUUCAACAUUUAUGUCGGUUUUAUUGACAACAUUGUCAAUAAGAAUCUGUUUUGGUGGCUGUGGAUUAUUAAUGACCUCGGUUAAUCACGACUAAUUGUGAUUAACCCCUUGGUCGUUUUUUACAAAUCCUGACUUCUACACUUCUCUUUGUAAUAUUGCUACAACAGGGACCGAUACAAAUGAUGAAUUAUAAAAGUGUUAAAAUGUAAAAAAAAAAAAAACAAUUCAUGCACGUGUAUAACUUUUCCAAGUUUAGUCAUUUCAGUAGAUCUUGCAGAAGGAAGUCUUUGUCUGCAACAAUAUAAAUCAGCCCUGGGUCCAUUGAGAUCCAGUUGAUAGUUGUGACGGUCUUUACAGAGUAUUUACUGCCCUCAUCAGGCUGGUCUGAUGACGACUGGGCGUCUGUGAGCUUGGCUUCCGUGAUGUCUGGACUCACUGACCAUUGACAUCCUUCUCUGAAACAAUGCCUACUGUAUAUUUGGAUGAUCAAAAAGAUCCACUUUAAUGAGUGAGGUCAAUCAUUACAGAGACCUUUUAACCCUGCAACCACUGUGGGGUAAAUAAUGGCUGGGUACAAACUCUUAUGAUCUGACAUUUUUAUUAACUGUCUGGGUAAUUUAUAUCAGCCUUCUAGUCAUACUAAAAUAUCAGUAGCGCUACUAUUAUUUUUUUUACCGUCCUCGUUGUUGCUGUUGUGCUGCACUAUUUCCUUUAAAUGCCCUAUGAUCUCGGUCCAAACUGUACGUGGUACAUUAAUAUGACAUCAGUGGAUGAACUCAGUGACUGCACAAUAACAGCCCCAGGCAAAACACUGGGACUGCACUUGAGCCAUAGCCAAACAUCGUGCAGUGGGAGAGACCUGGAGACAUUUCCAUGCUGUGUGACAGACUGAGAUGAUCUGCCAGGAAAAGUGAGAAAAACCAUUAAAACUCCAUAUGUGCAGAGCCUGUUGAAACCUGUCCGUUUGGAACUAUAGAGACAAUAUAGAGGCACAUGGCAGCCAGACCAAACGGGAAAAGUCACAGAACUUUCCAUGAGGCUACUGCAUGUGAUGUAACCUGGUCUGUGAGGGACAUGUUAACAGGAAUUCAUCCUGUUUUGUCAAUGGUUAAUGUUUUUCUGGUCUGGAAAACACGUGCUCUGAUCACAGAUGUGGAACGAUUACAUAACGAGCAGUAACAAUUAGAAUCAAAGCAGCAGAGUCGCUGUUAGGAGGCUGCGGUUUUGAUUGAUGAUUAAUUCAAUUAAAUGUCAGCUUUACUGUUGCCAGACGACACACACACACACACACUAUCACAUGCCAACAGCAGUGUGUACAUUUGUUUAUUGAUGCUGGCAUGUUUCUCAACCUGUGGAUCAGGCAGUUCACUGUUAUUUUCCUAAAGAGUCUGGGGUUGUGGAAACUACAGCGCUGUAAUAGUAAUAAUACACUUUUGUUCACCAGUCAACAGUUUAUGCUAAUACUUUUGUUUAGCAUAAACAUCUAUUUCUUGUCAAGAAUAUAUUUUGAUUAUUAAGUGUAAGCAAACAUGCAGCAGCCAGCUGCACGCUAGCUUGAGAAGCAGGCAGGUUUUUCUGAUUAUGACGUCAUCAUGCCAAAGAUGCAGCUGUCGCACGAGGUGCGUAUCGUAUCAGGUAUCAGGAAACUUGAGGAGUUUAUGUGUUGUACUGUUCAGGACAAAAGGUUACGUAUAAAAUAUAAAAUGAAAAUAAUUAGAUCAUUUUUAUUAUUAGCAUCUUUUUCGUAUCCUCGCUCCAAUUUUUAGGCCCGCUAGCGCCCCCUGGCAGCCCCAACUUUAAGGACCAUAACACAGUAGUGUGAGUUAUGGGUCCUUGAAUAAAGGAGUUAAAAUUAAACAAAUAUGUUGCUACUAUAUUCCUACUCAGAGCGCCACCUGCAGAUGGUUGUCUGAAGAUGUUUGUCUUCUCUAAACUGCCAAUCAACAUUGUUAUAAACAGUCCAUCAGAUUGACCAUCAGGCCACUAUCCUGCAAUAAUGUUUUGAUCAUAGUUCUGUGUCAGACCAAUGUAGCUGCAGUCCACCUAUUUUUUAUUAUCCUUUUAAAACAAUUAAAUUCCAUUUGAUUUUUA